rnacentral:rRNA from 1 species
AUUGAACGCUGGCGGCAUGCCUUACACAUGCAAGUCGAACGGCAGCACGGGUGCUUGCACCUGGUGGCGAGUGGCGAACGGGUGAAUAAUAUAUCGGAACGUACCUUAUUGUGGGGGAUAACGCAGCGAAAGCUGUGCUAAUACCGCAUAAUCCCUAAGGGGGAAAGCGGGGGACUGUAAGGCCUCGCGCAAUUAGAGCGGCCGAUACCUGAUUAGCUAGUUGGUGAGGUAAAGGCUCACCAAGGCAACGAUCAGUAGCUGGUCUGAGAGGACGAUCAGCCACACUGGGGCUGAGACACGGCCCAGACUCCUACGGGAGGCAGCAGUGGGGAAUUUUGGACAAUGGGGGCAACCCUGAUCCAGCAAUGCCGCGUGAGUGAAGAAGGCCUUCGGGUUGUAAAGCUCUUUUGUCAGGGAAGAAACAGCAGCUCUAACACAGUAUGCGAAUGACGGUACCUGAAGAAUAAGCACCGGCUAACUACGUGCCAGCCGCCGCUGUAA